rnacentral:tRNA from 1 species
UCCCUGGUGGCUCAGAGGGUAAAGAAUCUGCCUGCAAUGCGGGAGGCCCAGGUUCGAUCCCUGGGUGGGGAA